AGUGAACGCUGGCGGUAGGCCUAACACAUGCAAGUCGAACGGCAGCACAGUAAGAGCUUGCUCUUACGGGUGGCGAGUGGCGGACGGGUGAGGAAUACAUCGGAAUCUACUUUUUCGUGGGGGAUAACGUAGGGAAACUUACGCUAAUACCGCAUACGACCUACGGGUGAAAGCAGGGGAUCUUCGGACCUUGCGCGAUUGAAUGAGCCGAUGUCGGAUUAGCUAGUUGGCGGGGUAAAGGCCCACCAAGGCGACGAUCCGUAGCUGGUCUGAGAGGAUGAUCAGCCACACUGGAACUGAGACACGGUCCAGACUCCUACGGGAGGCAGCAGUGGGGAAUAUUGGACAAUGGGCGCAAGCCUGAUCCAGCCAUACCGCGUGGGUGAAGAAGGCCUUCGGGUUGUAAAGCCCUUUUGCUGGGAAAGAAAAGCAGCAGGUUAAUACCCCGCUGUUCUGGCGGUACCCAAAGAAUAAGCACCGGCUAACUUCGUG
rnacentral:rRNA from 1 species